UACGUAGGUGGCAAGCGUUGUCCGGAUUUACUGGGCGUAAAGAGCGCGCAGGCGGUCGUGCAAGUCGCGUGUGAAAGCCCCCGGCUCAACUGGGGAGGGUCACGCGAUACUGCUCGACUCGAAGGCAGGGGAGGGAAGUGGAAUUCCGGGUGUAGUGGUGAAAUGCGUAGAUAUCCGGAGGAACACCAGUGGCAAAGGCGACUUUCUGGCCUGUUCUUGACGCUGAGGCGCGAAAGCUAGGGGAGCAAACGGG
rnacentral:rRNA from 1 species